UGUACCAGCUAUCGUGCCAACGGUAGUGCUGGGUAACUAAGUCCGGCAGGGAUAAGUGCUGAAAGCAUCUAAGCACGAAGCCCCCUUCAAGAUGAGGUUUCCCACUACGCAAGUAGGUAAGAUCCCAUGMAGACUACAUGGUAGAUAGGCCGGGGGUGUAAGCGCAGCAAUGUGUUCAGCCGACCGGUACUAAUAGAUCGAGGUCUUGACCUAAUUUG
rnacentral:rRNA from 1 species